UCUUGAACAAUAGAUUUUGUAAGAUGCAUCAGUUUAGAGACUAAUAUGUGUGGAAUGAACUUGGCUUGCAGUGAACUACAGUUCUUCCACCGAGGCCUUCCUGCUGUUCUACAUGUGUGCAUUGUCCACCCAGUAGUGUUUGUUAGACCUUGAUGGGAAUCUGAUUGCAGCUGAACUAAAGGUUCAUCUUGUCCUGUUAUGACUGCUUUUGAUGAUCAUUACUAUCAGCAAACUUAUCCAUGGUAACCUCUCUGCAACAUUCCAGCCAA